rnacentral:rRNA from 1 species
AUUGAACGCUAGCGGGAUGCUUUACACAUGCAAGUCGAACGGCAGCGCGGUCUUCGGUCUCGCGUCGGGUGGGCAACGGGUGAGUGAUUUAUCAGUACAUCCCAAUUUGCUGGGUCUAACUGCGCAACGGCGUAGCAAAUACCGCAUAAGCCCUUCGGGGCAAAGCAUGGGAGCAUAGGACCUUGCACCAUUGCGCGGUCCGAUGUCCGGAUGUCGGAUUAGCUAGUUGGCGGGGUAACGGCCCACCAAGGCGACGAUCCGUAGCUGGUCUGAGAGGAUGAUCAGCCACACUGGAACUGAGACACGGCCCAGACUCCUACGGGAGGCAGCAGUGGGGAAUAUUGGACAAUGGGGGCAAGCCUGAUCCAGCCAUACCGCGUGGGUGAAGAAGGCCUUCGGGUUGUAAAGCCCUUUUGUUGGGAAAGAAAAGUCGCGGGCUAAUACCCCGCUGUUCUGACGGUACCAGAAGAAUAAGCACCGGCUAACUUCGUG